rnacentral:lncRNA from 10 species
CUCUUUUCUCUUCCACUAUCUGCAAGCAGAGAAGUCUGAGGUCCCAGGGACUGGCAAAGCCACAGGAUGAAAGGAACUUGAGGCUCUCCUUCACUACCUGCAGGAAAAGCACCUGUCGCAACAAGGAGCCCUUGCACUGAAUGGUUGCAUAAGUAACUACCCACCUUCUAUUGCAUGCCUGGCACAUGCUAACCAAGCUUUACCUCUGAGGAGCUCACAGACCAACAUUCCUCUGGAGGAGGGAGCAGGUUUUGAUGAAACACACCCACCAAGAAAAAUGCUGUGACAGGUUGUGAGGUUGGAAGUUGAAACAGAAGCAUCAAGUUCUAAUAGAUCCUGCCCUGUUAAGUGAAGUCCCCGGAACAAGAUGCCGUUUCAAGGGAAACGGAUCUGGGCUUUUAAAACUCUCUACUCACGAUGAGAAUAUAAAAAGAUGGGUCCGGGAGAACAAAGGGAGAGAUUUUGGGGGAUGAUUCCUUGGGAAGAAGUGUACCCAGCCCUUUUGCUAGCAUGUUGGGGGGGCAUGAAGAGAUCCCUCCUCCACCUCAUCCAAGUUGCUGUAAAAGACAUGAUUUCAUUCUUUUUUAUGGCUGAGUAGUAUUCCAUGGUAUCUGUAUACCACAUUUUCUUUAUCCACUCGUCGGUUGAUGGGCACUUAGAUUGGUUCCACGUCUUUGCAAUUGCCCCCACCUCAAAUUUAGU